rnacentral:lncRNA from 1 species
GUUGUAGUCUAGUUUUGAUUGUGUCAGAUUCUUAAAACGUGCUAAAAACUUUGUUUCUUUCUGAUAAUGUGUGACCUCUUUUUUAUUCUUUAUAAAUCUAGCAGAUGUAUGAAACUUGUGGGAACCGAGGCUUGUUGUGUAAUCUUCUUACUCUUCAAGUAGUUUGUAUAAGUAGAACCAAAGUUGUUAAUUCAAUACUUCCUUUUCUUCUCAUGUUUACAAGUGAUAAGUUAUAUGCAUUAGGCUUCUUCCUUUUGUUUUAUUACUAUGCAUUUUAAAUAUUUGUCCCUCUUGAUUCAAUUGUGUUGUAUGAAAUGAUAAUACAAAAAAUUAUAUUCUAUUUAGCGAUAGCUUAAUUAACUGUAUCAAUGUAAAUAUUGCAUUUUGUUCCCUCUUAUGCAAAAUAUAAACUAUGGCUUAAGGUUGCACGCUGGUUGUUUAGUUAAUCUAAUAAAUUUUAACCUUCUAAGAUCCACAUUCCCAUGAGAGUUUUUGUUGGGAAGUGAGUUUAUUCUAAUUGAUAAUCUCAUGUAUUAAUUUUGUUAAGCGCCAAUUUACUUGGUAAUCCUUAUCUUCUUUAUUUUACAUCUACACUCGGGAGUGCGUUGCGGUCUCACGGCUUGACUCCAUCUCUAUCCAAAUCAGAGAAGCAAGCAAAUUGCAUUACGUAUCUCCAUCUAGCAGUCUAGCUCCUCAUUCCCCU